CCUACGGGGGGCAGCAGUGGGGGAUAUUGCACAAUGGGGGAAACCCUGAUGCAGCGACGCCGCGUGAGCGAUGAAGUAUUUCGGUAUGUAAAGCUCUAUCAGCAGGGAAGAAAAUGAGGGUACCUGACUAAGAAGCCCCGGCUAAAUACGUGCCGACAGCCGCGGUAAUGCGUAGGGGGCAAGCGUUAUCCGGAUUUAUUGGGUGUAAAGGGAGAGUAGACGGCAGUGCAAGUCCGAAGGGAAAGGCAAGGGCCCAAACCUUGGACUGCUUUGGAAACUGUGCUGCUGGAGUGUCGGAGAGGCAAGUGGAAUGCCUAGUGUAGCGGUGAAAUGCGUAGAUAUUAGGAGGAACACCAGUGGCGAAGGCGGCUUGCUGGACGAUGACUGACGUUGAGGCUCGAAAGCGUGGGGAGCAAACAGGAUUAGAUACCCUGGUAGUC
rnacentral:rRNA from 1 species